GAUGAACGCUGGCGGCGUGCCUAAUACAUGCAAGUCGAGCGAACGGACGAGAAGCUUGCUUUUCUGAUGUUAGCGGCGGACGGGUGAGUAACACGUGGAUAACCUACCUAUAAGACUGGGAUAACUUCGGGAAACCGGAGCUAAUACCGGAUAAUAUUUUGAACCGCAUGGUUCAAAAGUGAAAGACGGUCUUGCUGUCACUUAUAGAUGGAUCCGCGCUGCAUUAGCUAGUUGGUAAGGUAAGGGCUUACCAAGGCAACGAUGCAUAGCCGACCUGAGAGGGUGAUCGGCCACACUGGAACUGAGACACGGUCCAGACUCCUACGGGAGGCAGCGGUAGGGAAUCUUCCGCAAUGGGCGAAAGCCUGACGGAGCAACGCCGCGUGAGUGAUGAAGGUCUUCGGAUCGUAAAACUCUGUUAUUAGGGAAGAACAUAUGUGUAAGUAACUGUGCACAUCUUGACGGUACCUAAUCAGAAAGCCACGGCUAACUACGUG
rnacentral:rRNA from 1 species